GACGAACGCUGGCGGCGUGCUUAACACAUGCAAGUCGAACGGUAAGGCCCUUCGGGGUACACGAGUGGCGAACGGGUGAGUAACACGUGGGUGAUCUGCCCUGCACUUCGGGAUAAGCCUGGGAAACUGGGUCUAAUACCGGAUAGGACCACUGCCUGCAUGGGUGGUGGUGGAAAGCUUUUGCGGUGUGGGAUGGGCCCGCGGCCUAUCAGCUUGUUGGUGGGGUGUUGGCCUACCAAGGCGACGACGGGUAGCCGGCCUGAGAGGGUGACCGGCCACACUGGGAUUGAGAUACGGCCCAGACUCCUACGGGAGGCAGCAGUGGGGAAUAUUGCACAAUGGGCGCAAGCCUGAUGCAGCGACGCCGCGUGAGGGAUGACGGCCUUCGGGUUGUAAACCUCUUUCAGCACCGACGAAGCGCAAGUGACGGUAGGUGCAGAAGAAGGACCGGCCAACUACGUGCCAGCAGCCGCCGUAA
rnacentral:rRNA from 1 species